UACGAAGGGGGGCUAGCGUUGUUCGGAAUUACUGGGCGUAAAGCGCACGUAGGCGGACAUUUUAAGUCAGGGGUGAAAUCCCGGAGCUCAACUCCGGAACUGCCUUUGAUACUGGGUGUCUUGAGUGUGGAAGAGGUGAGUGGAAUUCCGAGUGUAGAGGUGAAAUUCGUAGAUAUUCGGAGGAACACCAGUGGCGAAGGCGGCUCACUGGUCCAUUACUGACGCUGAGGUGCGAAAGCGUAGGGAGCAAACAGG
rnacentral:rRNA from 1 species